rnacentral:lncRNA from 1 species
UCACUGAGGAAGGUAUAUAUUAUUAUUCAUAUACAGAUAUAUUUUUUAAAAGGAUGGCAUAUAAAAAAUAAAUUUGCAUAUCGAGUAUAAAAACAUGAAAUGGUAACAGCUGAGGGGAAAAUAUUUUCAUCAUGUAAGAACAUCAGAAUAAAAGCUCUAACAGCUCGAGAACAGGUGACUGAGAAACAAGGAAAUGUGUGAAAUAAUGGAAGAAAAUGGAAAGUAGGUCUGGAGAAGGAAGGUGAGCACGGGCUAACAUGAGAUGACCACACUUCUCUGUAAUAACUGCUAACAUUCUAAAUAUCCCCUGCGGUCUACCGUUUCCACAUUAAAAACCAAUUUCUCAAAAGGGUGUGUAAGCACAAUAAAACGAGUCUCUGUAAGGAAGGGAAUUGCUAAACUCUGGUAUAUUCUUACAAAAGAAUAACAGCCAUGAAAAGGAGAGGAGACUAAGUUCUGGUGGAGAAGGCAUCCAAAAUAAAUGCAAACCAGAUACAAACAGCACAUGUGCUAGCUUUUUAAAGUUGUUCUAUCUGAUCUGAAACUCAGUGUACCUUAAGUCCACAUCACACAGACAGCAAUGCUCCUGCCUCAGACUUCUGAGUGUUGGGAUUACAACCAUGAGCCACCAAUCUUUGUUCCCAUUUCCUAUUUUUAUAUAAUACUGAUAUCUGAAACAAUGUUUCAUUAGAUUAGCAAACAAAAUUUAAAACACCUGUCUCCUGGGAUCUGUGAUUCACAAUGUGGUCCCCUUACCAUGACCGAGCCACAGGUUAUGGGAAAUUUUAAUUCUACAUUUAGGAGCCUCCCUCCCAUAACCCUGCAAACAACACCUGUUUUCUCAUCCAGGCACUGAGGGAAUUGUAGUCCAGCUACUCCAGGACCUUGAGUCCAAAGACUCUAAAGUGGGUUAGGAUGUGUCCUAUAAAGUUUUCCCAAAAUGAAUAUGCUUAUUAAAUCUUUAAUAUAAAAAAGCUAUUAAAUUGUUGAGCUGUUAAAAGUGAAGCACGCUUGAGGCCUGGUUAUAAUGCUAGCACUUGGGAAGCUGGAGUAGGAAGAGCAAGAAUUCAGGUUAUCCUUGGCUACACAAUGUAGGGCCAGCCUGGAACAUAUAAGAUCAUAUGUCAAAAAGCAAAUGAAACAGCUCCGAAAAAAAGAAAAGAAAAAAAAAAA